AUACGGAGGGUGCAAGCGUUAUCCGGAAUCAUUGGGUUUAAAGGGCUCGUAGGCGGGUCAAUAAGUCAGAGGUGAAAUCUUGCAGCUUAACUGUAAAAUUGCCUUUGAAACUGUUGACCUUGAAUUACUGUGAAGUGGUUAGAAUAUGUAGUGUAGCGGUGAAAUGCUUAGAGAUUACAUAGAAUACCGAUUGCGAAGGCAGAUCACUAACAGUAUAUUGACGCUGAUGAACGAAAGCGUGGGUAGCGAACGGGAUUAGAAACCCCGGUAGUCC
rnacentral:rRNA from 1 species